rnacentral:rRNA from 1 species
GGGAGGCAGCAGUGGGGAAUAUUGCACAAUGGGCGAAAGCCUGAUGCAGCCAUGCCGCGUGAAUGAUGAAGGCCUUAGGGUUGUAAAAUUCUUUCGCUAGGGAUGAUAAUGACAGUACCUAGUAAAGAAGCCCCGGCUAACUUCGUGCCAGCAGCCGCGGUAAUACGAAGGGUGCUAGCGUUGUUCGGAAUUACUGGGCGUAAAGGGCGUGUAGGCGGAUGAUCAAGCUAGAGGUGAAAGCCCAGGGCCUAACCCUGGAACUGCCUUUAGAACUGAUUGUCUAGAAUCCGUAAGGGGAGUGUGGAAUUCCAAGUGUAGAGGUGAAAUUCGUAGAUAUUAGGAGGAACACCAGUGGCGAAGGCGGCACUCUGGUACGGUAUUGACGCUGAGGCGCGAAAGCGUGGGGAGCAAACAGGAUUAGAUACCCUGGUAGUCC